rnacentral:rRNA from 1 species
UUGGGCGUAAGAGCUUGUAGGCGGUUUGUCGCGUCUGCUGUGAAAGCCCGGGGCUUAACUCCGGGUUUGCAGUGGGUACGGGCUAACUAGAGUGCAGUAGGGGAGACUGGAAUUCCUGGUGUAGCGGUGGAAUGCGCAGAUAUCAGGAGGAACACCGAUGGCGAAGGCAGGUCUCUGGGCUGUAACUGACGCUGAGAAGCGAAAGCAUGGGGAGCGAACAGGAUUAGAUACCCUGGUAGUCCAUGCCGUAAACGUUGGGCACUAGGUGUGGGGGACAUUCCACGUUUUCCGCGCCGUAGCUAACGCAUUAAGUGCCCCGCCUGGGGAGUACGGCCGCAAGGCUAAAACUCAAAGAAAUUGACGGGGGCCCGCACAAGCGGCGGAGCAUGCGGAUUAAUUCGAUGCAACGCGAAGAACCUUACCAAGGCUUGACAUAUACUGGACUCCCCUAGAGAUAGGGUUUCCCUUCGGGGCUGGUAUACAGGUGGUGCAUGGUUGUCGUCAGCUCGUGUCGUGAGAUGUUGGGUUAAGUCCCGCA